rnacentral:rRNA from 1 species
UACGAAGGGGGCCAGCGUUGCUCGGAAUCACUGGGCGUAAAGCGCACGUAGGCGGAUUGCUAAGUCAGGGGUGAAAUCCUGGAGCUCAACUCCAGAACUGCCCUUGAUACUGGCGGUCUCGAGUCCGGGAUAGGUGAGUGGAACUGCGAGUGUAGAGGUGAAAUUCGUAGAUAUUCGCAAGAACACCAGUGGCGAAGGCGGCUCACUGGCCCGGUACUGACGCUGAGGUGCGAAAGCGUGGGGAGCAAACAGG